rnacentral:misc_RNA from 1 species
CAAGAAACGAGGCUACGUGCCCCCGCUCUUUACCUUGCCUACUGCACUAUCUGUUGCUUUCCUGGCGGCGGUUUGCCUGCCGCCAGGGACAUUGUAAAAGGCCCUGCAUAAGCAUUGAAAAAAACUGAAACAAACCGAAUCGUA